rnacentral:misc_RNA from 1 species
UGGCCAGCACAACACACUGGUGAGCCUA